rnacentral:rRNA from 1 species
AGAGUUUGAUCAUGGCUCAGAUUGAACGCUGGCGGUAUGCUUAACACAUGCAAGUCGAGCGGUAACGAUGGAAGCUUGCUUCCAGGCGACGAGCGGCGGACGGGUGAGUAACGCGUGGAAAUCUGCCUACUAGCGGGGGAUAGCCCGGAGAAAUCCGGAUUAAUACCGCAUACGCCCUACGGGGGAAAGCUGGGGAUCUUCGGACCUGGCACUAGUAGAUGAGUCCGCGUUAGAUUAGCUUGUUGGUGGGGUAAUGGCCUACCAAGGCGACGAUCUAUAGCUGGUCUGAGAGGACGAUCAGCCACACUGGGACUGAGACACGGCCCAGACUCCUACGGGAGGCAGCAGUGGGGAAUAUUGCACAAUGGGCGCAAGCCUGAUGCAGCAAUACCGCGUGUGUGAAGAAGGCCUGCGGGUUGUAAAGCACUUUCAAUAGUGAAGAAAAGCCUGGUAUUAAUACUACCGGGUCUUGACGUUAACUAUACAAGAAGCACCGGCUAACUCCGUGCCAGCAGCCGCGGUAAUACGGAGGGUGCGAGCGUUAAUCGGAAUUACUGGGCGUAAAGCGUGCGUAGGCGGCUUAUUAAGUCAGAUGUGAAAGCCCCGGGCUUAACCUGGGAACUGCAUUUGAUACUGGUAAGCUAGAGUAUGGUAGAGGGGGGUAGAAUUCCUAGUGUAGCGGUGAAAUGCGUAGAUAUUAGGAGGAAUACCAGUGGCGAAGGCGGCCCCCUGGACCAAUACUGACGCUGAGGUACGAAAGCGUGGGUAGCGAACAGGAUUAGAUACCCUGGUAGUCCACGCUGUAAACGAUGUCAACUAGCCGUCGGGACCUUGAGGUUUCGGUGGUGCAGCUAACGCGUGAAGUUGACCGCCUGGGGACUACGGCCGCAAGGCUAAAACUCAAAUGAAUUGACGGGGGCCCGCACAAGCGGUGGAGCAUGUGGUUUAAUUCGAUGCAACGCGAAGAACCUUACCUACCCUUGACAUCCUCAGAACUUGUAAGAGAUUACUUGGUGCCUUCGGGAAUUGAGUGACAGGUGCUGCAUGGCUGUCGUCAGCUCGUGUCGUGAGAUGUUGGGUUAAGUCCCGCAACGAGCGCAACCCUUAUCCUUAGUUGCCAGCACAUUAUGGUGGGAACUCUAAGGAGACUGCCGGUGAUAAACCGGAGGAAGGUGGGGAUGACGUCAAGUCAUCAUGGCCCUUAUGGGUAGGGCUACACACGUGCUACAAUGGCCAGUACAGAGGGCCGCGAACUCGCGAGAGUAAGCAAAUCCCAGAAAGCUGGUCGUAGUCCGGAUUGGAGUCUGCAACUCGACUCCAUGAAGUUGGAAUCGCUAGUAAUCAUGAAUCAGAAUGUCACGGUGAAUACGUUCCCGGGCCUUGUACACACCGCCCGUCACACCAUGGGAGUGGGCUGCAAAAGAAGUGGGUAGUUUAACCUUCGGGAGAACGCUCACCACUUUGUGGUUCAUGACUGGGGUGAAGUCGAAACAAGGUA